GAGUAGAGUGGCGCACGGGUGAGNUACACGUAAACAAUCUAUCCUUUGGUUGGGGAGUGCUACUGGAAACGGUAGCUAAUACCCGAUAAGUCUGAGAGGUCUGCGGAUUUUUCAGAGAAAGGCGAGACACGCCGGAGGGUGAGUUUGCGUCCCAUCAGCUAGAUGGUAGGGUAAGGGCCUACCAUGGCGAUGACGGGUAGCUGGUUUGAGAGGAUGAUCAGCCACACUGGGACUGAGACACGGCCCAGACUCCUACGGGAGGCAGCAGUGGGGAAUAUUGGACAAUGGGGGCAACCCUGAUCCAGCCAUGCCGCGUGAAGGAAGAAGGUUUUCGGAUCGUAAACUUCUGUUGGGAGGGAAGAAAGACCGUUUUAUAGACGGUGAUGACGGUACCUCCUUAGCAAGCACCGGCUAACUCCGUGCCAGCAGCCGCGGUAAUACGGAGGGUGCGAACGUUGCUCGGAAUCACUGGGCUUAAAGGGCUCGUAAGCGGUUAUGUAAGUUAGGUGUGAAAUC
rnacentral:rRNA from 1 species